rnacentral:rRNA from 1 species
GGCAUGCAAGUCGAACGGAAUAAUGGCUUCGGCUAUUAUUUAGUGGCGGAAGGGUUAGUAAUACAUAGAUAAUUUGUUCUUAACUUGGGAAUAACGGUUGGAAACGGCCGCUAAUACCGAAUGUGGUGUGUUUAGGCAUCUAAAUUACAUUAAAGAAGGGGAUCUUCGGACCUUUCGGUUAAGAGAAAGUCUGUGGGAUAUCAGCUUGUUGGUGGGGUAAUGGCCUACCAAGGCUAUGACGUCUAGGCGGAUUGAGAGAUUGACCGCCAACACUGGGACUGAGACACUGCCCAGACUCCUACGGGAGGCUGCAGUCGAGAAUCUUUCGCAAUGGACGAAAGUCUGACGAAGCGACGCCGCGUGUGUGAUGAAGGCUCUAGGGUUGUAAAGCACUUUCGCCUGGGAAUAAGAGAGAUUGGCUAAUAUCCAAUUGAUUUGAGCGUACCAGGUAAAGAAGCACCGGCUAACUCCGUGCCAGCAGCUGCGGUAAUACGGAGGGUGCUAGCGUUAAUCGGAUUUAUUGGGCGUAAAGGGCGUGUAGGCGGAAAGGAAAGUUAGAUGUCAAAUCUUGAGGCUCAACCUCAAGUCGGCAUCUAAUACUAUCUUUCUAGAGGUUGGAUGGAGAAAAGGGAAUUCCACGUGUAGCGGUGAAAUGCGUAGAUAUGUGGAAGAACACCAGUGGCGAAGGCGCUUUUCUAAUUUUUCCUGACGCUAAGGCGCGAAAGCAAGGGGAGCAAACAGGAU